rnacentral:rRNA from 1 species
UAAUGUAUGGGGAUCUGCCCGAUAGAGGGGGAUAACUACUGGAAACGGUGGCUAAUACCGCAUAAUGUCUACGGACCAAAGCAGGGGCUCUUCGGACCUUGCACUAUCGGAUGAACCCAUAUGGGAUUAGCUAGUAGGUGGGGUAAAGGCUCACCUAGGCGACGAUCUCCAGCUGGUCUGAGAGGAUGAUCAGCCACACUGGGACUGAGACACGGCCCAG